rnacentral:rRNA from 1 species
UACGGAGGGUGCAAACGUUGCUCGGAAUCAUUGGGCGUAAAGCGCACGUAGGUGGCCUAUUAAGUCAGGUGUGAAAGCCCUGGGCUCAACCCAGGAAGUGCACUUGAUACUGGUAGGCUUGAGUACUGAAGAGGGUCGCGGAAUUCCCGGUGUAGAGGUGAAAGUCGUAGAUAUCGGGAGGAACACCAGUGGCGAAGGCGGCGACCUGGGCAGAUACUGACACUGAGGUGCGAAAGCGUGGGGAGCAAACAGG